UGCAUUGUGGAGUUGCAGUGGGAAGGGAAUGAAAUGUUGAGAAUGAUCGCUGAGUGGACUAGAGAUUUGCGGAUGUAAUGGCUCCUUUUGAAUGCUGACAAGGGAGGGGAGGGGAAAGAAAUAUUUGAUACCACAACUUCCAAGAAAUCUCAGGAUAAAUUGAAGCCCAGGAUCAGGGGUCCAGCACAAAAGAGUGACAUCACAGGAGCUCUGUCGCUGUAGUGAUGGCCAUAGAAGAUGGUUUGGAUGCUGCAUUUCGAAAGAGAUAUUGCUGGGACCCAAGGACUUCUCAGAGCAUCUACAAAUACCACAUUGAUACCCGUGAACAUCUUCCUCAUCACUGAAUCAAUCUGAUAAGCGUACCAAUCACUAUAACAGGUGCUGGCUUGCAAUGGAGUUGAAUUGGAUCGGAGGACCAUGAGGGUGAUAUUCUACCACAAUGUUAUUCUCCAAGUUCACAGCAAGAUGGGGGCCCACCAUGACAGGAUUUCCAAGGUCCAAUAUCUUGAGAUCUCAAAUAGAACAUUAAGGAUUUAAGAUGCUGAACCACAUUUCUAACGUUAACAGAUAUGGAACUGGGAGGAAUCAAGAUUUUCAUCAGCAAAACUCAAAAUGGGGCCACAGAUUUUUGUGACUGUUGAGUAGGGACAUGAAUUAUACAGAGGCACGUAACAGUAAUCACAGACAAAAAGACGGAUCCUUUAUCUCAUUAUUUGCCUACACCAAUUUUGCGAAUAAUUUCUUCUUUUAUCUUUCUUCACCUUAAGCUUAUGGACCAUUCUCCAAUGAAGAGACAGCCAGACGGAUGACCUGUUCCCAGUGCUCUGCCAAUGUUCAUUGUGCAAUAUUUUAUAAUAAUUUGUUCAGA